rnacentral:rRNA from 1 species
GCAGUCGAACGCUUUUUCUUUCACCGGAGCUUGCUCCACCGAAAGAAAAAGAGUGGCGAACGGGUGAGUAACACGUGGGUAACCUGCCCAUCACAAGGGGAUAACACUUGGAAACAGGUGCUAAUACCGUAUAACACUAUUUUCCGCAUGGAAGAAAGUUGAAAGGCGCUUUUGCGUCACUGAUGGAUGGACCCGCGGUGCAUUAGCUAGUUGGUGAGGUAACGGCUCACCAAGGCAACGAUGCAUAGCCGACCUGAGAGGGUGAUCGGCCACACUGGGACUGAGACACGGCCCAGACUCCUACGGGAGGCAGCAGUAGGGAAUCUUCGGCAAUGGACGAAAGUCUGACCGASCAACGCCGCGUGAGUGAAGAAAGUUUUCGGAUCGUAAAACUCUGUUGUUAGAGAAGAACAAGGAUGAGAGUAAAACGUUCAUCCCUUGACGGUAUCUAACCAGAAAGCCACGGCUAACUACGUGCCAGCAGCCGCGGUAAUACGUAGGUGGCAAGCGUUGUCCGGAUUUAUUGGGCGUAAAGGGAGCGCAGGCGGUUUCUUAAGUCUGAUGUGAAAGCCCCCGGCUCAACCGGGGAGGGUCAUUGGAAACUGGGAGACUUGAAUGCARAAGAAGAAAGUGGAAUUCCAUGUGUACCGGUGAAAUGCGUAAAUAUAUGGAGGAACACCAGUGGCUAAGGCGGCUCUCUGGUCUGUAACUGACGCUGAGGCUCGAAAGCGUGGGGAGCGAACAGGAUUAGAUACCCUGGUAGUCCACGCCGUAAACGAUGAGUGCUAAGUGUUGGAGGGUUUCCGCCCUUCA